AUUGAACGCUGGCGGCAUGCCUAACACAUGCAAGUCGAACGGUAACAGGCCCUUCGGGCGCUGACGAGUGGCGGACGGGUGAGUAAUGCUUAGGAAUCUGCCUAGUAGUGGGGGAGUAACCCGGGAAACGUCGGCUAAUACCGCAUACGUCCUACGGGAGGAAAGCGGGGGCCGUUCGGCCGUCGCGCUAUUAGAUGAGCCUAAGUCCGAUUAGCUAGUU
rnacentral:rRNA from 1 species